CUGCCAGUAACCGCCUCUCUCUGGAAAUCUGGGCGCGUAAAGCGGUGCGGGGGUCUGCAGGAGUUUGCGCAUGCCUAGUCACUACGCGCAGAUUGGAGCCGCUCGAGGGCAGGACCCCAGUGACGUCGUAACGGCGCGCCGCUCCCAGGUGUCCUCGCAAGGUCGCUUUGCAGAAGGGGAAGCGCGCGUAUGUGACAGGACCCUCGUUCAGGGGCGCGCCGUGUCUUGCUUCCUUGGUACCGGCGGCGACAUGUCGGGAUAUACGCCCGACGAGAAACUGCGACUGCAGCAGCUGCGAGAGCUGAGAAGGCGAUGGCUGAAGGAUCAGGAGCUGAGCCCCCGGGAACCGGUGCUGCCCCCGCGGCGGGUGUGGCCUAUGGAGCAAUUCUGGAAUAAGUUUUUGCAGGAUGGAGCCCCCUGGAAGAACGUGAUCUAUAAGACAUACCGACACAGCAUCUUUGCUGUUACUCAUGUGCUUAUCCCUGUAUGGAUUAUUCAUUAUUAUCUUAAAUAUCAUGUAACUGAGAUCAUGUCCAUUGAUCAUCAACUAUGGAGUGCCUAGUAUGUCCUCUUCCUUUAUUGCUUUGAGAAGAAUAUUUAAGACAAGAUUCCUGCCUCCUCAAGGAGUUUAAAAUUGGAAGAUAGGCAAAACCAUAUACCGUCGUUGAAAGGAAGCCCAGAAUAUUCCCAGGUGAUACAAUCCUGGAAACUGGAGAAGUAAUCCCACUAAUGAAAGAAUUUCCUGAUCAACAUCACUGAAGAUAACUUUAAAAUUUCAAAGGCAUAUGAGCUAUAUUACCACACUUACUGAAUAUAUUUUCUGGAAAAGUAACUUUAAUAAAGUUUACUCUCAGAUAUGUGUCUUUUUCUUCCCAAACAUUAUACAAUUUGAGACUCUUUGAAUUAUUUAAUAAAUAAAAACUGGGCAUGUUAAAUGA